UGAACUGUUUCUGGAGAGUGGGCAAGGACAGGAAGUGCAGUUUAGAAAUCCGUCUCCCUGCCAGUGUGCAGUGUGUAUAAAAAUAAAAUACACUGUGUUCA